GACGAACGCUGGCGGCGCGCCUAACACAUGCAAGUCGAACGAGCGAGAGGAGGUUUACUUUCUCAAGCGAGUGGCGAACGGGUGAGUAACGCGUGAGGAACCUGCCUCAAAGAGGGGGACAACAGUUGGAAACGACUGCUAACACCGCAUAAGCCCACGACCCGGCAUCGGGUAGAGGGAAAAGGAGCAAUCCGCUUUGAGAUGGCCUCGCGUCCGAUUAGCUAGUUGGUGAGGUAAUGGCCCACCAAGGCGACGAUCGGUAGCCGGACUGAGAGGUUGAACGGCCACAUUGGGACUGAGACACGGCCCAGACUCCUACGGGAGGCAGCAGUGGGGAAUAUUGCACAAUGGGGGAAACCCUGAUGCAGCGACGCCGCGUGGAGGAAGAAGGUCUUCGGAUUGUAAACUCCUGUUGUUGAGGAAGAUAAUGACGGUACUCAACAAGGAAGUGACGGCUAACUACGUG
rnacentral:rRNA from 1 species